UUAGGGUAAAUUACAUCGUGCCAAUUUCCUAUCUCCCCUCCUUUUUCCUUGUCCCUGAUUUUCCCAAGCUACAACCCAGACGAAGAAGUGUUGUUCUUCCUCCCAAUCGCGCUGGUAACUCAUUCUCUCCUUCUUCAACAACGCGUCAGAGUCUCCUUCACGUUCUCGCUCUCGCUUCCCUUCUCCAGCUCUAUCCCAAGCUCCAAAGGACAGUUGAUGGAAAACGACGAGUACUCACUUUUAUUUGGUUGCUACAACUUGAUAAACUGAUGACAAACUUGGAACGAUGUCACGGUGCUUCAAUGUGGAUUCUGGUUUUGGUUUAUGUGGCGCUUUUGUGGAAUCUACUGAACAUGUUUUUCAAGACUGUUAUUAUGCUAAUUAAGCAGAUUUGGCUUAGAAUUCUGGAUGAGAACUUCUACAUAAAAUUUGCUAGUUGUGUUAGUUAUAUGCCGUGUAGCCAACUUAUUGAUUAUAUUUUAGAUAUAAUAUUUCAUGUAAUAAAAUAUUUAAAAUUAUUAAUAAAAAAACAUUUAUUUAUCUUUUA